GUGUGCUUUAGGACUUGAGCCUGA
rnacentral:piRNA from 1 species